GACAGAGGGGGCAAGCGUUGCUCGGAAUCACUGGGCGUAAAGGGCGCGUAGGCGGGAUGGCAAGUCGGUCGUGAAAUCCCUGGGCUCAACUCAGGGGGGUCGGCCGAUACUGCCAUUCUUGAGGGAUGCAGAGGAGACUGGAAUUCCCGGUGUAGCGGUGAAAUGCGUAGAUAUCUGGAGGAACACCGGUGGCGAAGGCGGCAUCCUGGACCGGCAUUGACGCUGAUGAGCGAAAGCCAGGGGAGCAAACGGG
rnacentral:rRNA from 1 species